CUGAAUGAUCAUCUCUGCAGUUGCGCUUUUUUGAAUAUUAUCCUUUUUUGCAACCCGUGUUUCUCCAGGAAGCCCUCCUUGAUCUCUCCAGGUAUUUAUUAUAGGUUCAAGUUUCGAAAGCAUCCUAAUGGAGAAGAGGAGGAUUUAUAACAUGGGUUGCCAAUAGAUCCAUAACUGUUAACUUUGCCUCUGAGGCAAAUAGAGAAGGAUUGUAUGGACACAAAACCACAAGUUCCCAAGGAAGCAAAUGGAGAGCAGUUAAUUAUUCUCAUCUCAUCAAUGAAGAAAAAGAGGUACAGUGAAGAUAAGUGAACAGUCUGAAGUUUUAUAGCAAGUUCCUGCCAUGACUGCAAAUAGGAACUACACCUCGGUCUGGUGUGUGAGUCAGGAGACCUGGGUUCAAUUCCGACUCCAAAACUUAUUAACUGUAUGAUUUUAACCAAUUUCCACAAUCUCUUUACACCUUUUUGGC